GCUCGGGUGACGCAGUGGUUAGCGUGUUGCUCUUAUAAUGCAAAGGUCGCGGGUUCAAGUCCCGCCUCGAGCA
rnacentral:tRNA from 8 species